AGAGUUUGAUCCUGGCUCAGGAUGAACGCUGGCGGCGUGGAUAAGGCAUGCAAGUCGAACGCGACCUUCGGGUCGAGUGGCAGACGGGGUAGUAACAGGUAGGAAUAUACCCAGAAGUCAAGAAUAACCUUUCGAAAGAUUGGCUAAUGCUUGAUAGUCCCUUCGGGGUAAAGAUUUAUCGCUUCUGGAAUAGCCUGCUUCGUAUCAGCUUGUUGGUAGGGUAACGGCCUACCAAGGCGAUGACGCGUAGGGGAGCUGAGAGGCUGACCCCCACCAUUGGCACUGAGACACUGGCCAAACACCUACGGGUGGCUGCAGUCGAGAAUCUUCCGCAAUGGGCGCAAGCCUGACGGAGCGACGCCGCGUGGUUGACGAAGUCCUUAGGGAUGUAAAAACCUUUUCUCAAGGAGGAAGUUUAUUGACGUUACUUGAGGAAUAAGGGGUUGCUAAACUCGUGCCAGCAGCAGCGGUAACACGAGUGCCCCAAGCGUUAUCCGGAAUUAUUGGGCGUAAAGUGUGCGUAGGCUGAUUUGUUAGUCUCUUGUUAAAGAUCCAGGCAUAACUUGGAAAAGGCAAGGGAAACGGCAAGUCUAGAGAGUGCGAGGGGUAAGCGGAACCAAUGGUGUAGGGGUGAAAUCCGUUGAUAUCAUUGGGAACACCA
rnacentral:rRNA from 1 species